rnacentral:rRNA from 1 species
UGCAGUCGAACGGCAGCACGGGGGCAACCCUGGUGGCGAGUGGCGAACGGGUGAGUAAUACAUCGGAACGUGUCCUGUAGUGGGGGAUAGCCCGGCGAAAGCCGGAUUAAUACCGCAUACGCUCUACGGAGGAAAGGGGGGGAUCUCAGGACCUCCCGCUACAGGGGCGGCCGAUGGCAGAUUAGCUAGUUGGUGGGGUAAAGGCCUACCAAGGCGACGAUCUGUAGCUGGUCUGAGAGGACGACCAGCCACACUGGGACUGAGACACGGCCCAGACUCCUACGGGAGGCAGCAGUGGGGAAUUUUGGACAAUGGGCGAAAGCCUGAUCCAGCAAUGCCGCGUGUGUGAAGAAGGCCUUCGGGUUGUAAAGCACUUUUGUCCGGAAAGAAAACCUCCGCCCUAAUAUGGUGGGGGGAUGACGGUACCGGAAGAAUAAGCACCGGCUAACUACGUGCCAGCAGCCGCGGUAAUACGUAGGGUGCAAGCGUUAAUCGGAAUUACUGGGCGUAAAGCGUGCGCAGGCGGUCCGCUAAGACAGAUGUGAAAUCCCCGGGCUUAACCUGGGAACUGCAUUUGUGACUGGCGGGCUAGAGUAUGGCAGAGGGGGGUAGAAUUCCACGUGUAGCAGUGAAAUGCGUAGAGAUGUGGAGGAAUACCGAUGGCGAAGGCAGCCCCCUGGGCCAAUACUGACGCUCAUGCACGAAAGCGUGGGGAGCAAACAGGAUUAGAUACCCUGGUAGUCCACGCCCUAAACGAUGUCAACUAGUUGUUGGGGAUUCAUUUCCUUAGUAACGUAGCUAACGCGUGAAGUUGACCGCCUGGGGAGUACGGUCGCAAGAUUAAAACUCAAAGGAAUUGACGGGGACCCGCACAAGCGGUGGAUGAUGUGGAUUAAUUCGAUGCAACGCGAAAAACCUUACCUACCCUUGACAUGUAUGGAAUCCUGCUGAGAGGUGGGAGUGCCCGAAAGGGAGCCAUAACACAGGUGCUGCAUGGCUGUCGUCAG